GACAGAGGGUGCAAACGUUGUUCGGAAUUACUGGGCGUAAAGCGAGUGUAGGCGGUCCGAUAAGUCGGGUGUGAAAGCCCUGGGCUCAACCCAGGAAGUGCACUCGAAACUGCCGGGCUAGAGUAUCGGAGAGGUUGGUGGAAUUCUCGGUGUAGAGGUGAAAUUCGUAGAUAUCGGAAGGAACAUCAGUGGCGAAGGCGACUUUCUGGACAGAUACUGACACUGAGGCACGAAAGCCAGGGGAGCAAACGGG
rnacentral:rRNA from 1 species